AAAAAUCACUCGAGAUGAGCGAGAAAGGACGAGCUAUUCCUCGUAUGCUUCAAAGAAGUCCUUCCUAAAGGAUUGUUCUCGAAGAAAUGGACGAGAAGCUUAUGAAAAUAUUUUCUCUUUCUUUGAGCCAAAUGAUUAUCUCUUUGAUUCUUUCGUGACAUCCGCACAUUGUAGUGAAAAAGAAAAAAAAAUCAAAAUAGUGAGAGAAAAAGAAAAUGAAGAAAAGAAAAUUGAAAAAGAAAUUGAGAUUGAGAAAAAAAUUGAAAAAGAAAAAGAUGUUGAAGAAGAAACGAGAGAAAAUGAAGAUAGUGAGCGAGAACAAGAAAAGGAGAACGAAAUUUUAACUAAUCCCCGUGAUGUUUGUUUUUGUCCUGUUCCUUCUUUUCAAGUUCCGACAAAUCUCUGUGACGAAUAUCA
rnacentral:lncRNA from 1 species